rnacentral:rRNA from 1 species
CGAAAGCCUGACGGAGCAACGCCGCGUGAGGGAUGAAGGCCUCUGGGCUGUAAACCUCUUUUAUCAAGGAAGAAGAUCUGACGGUACUUGAUGAAUAAGCUACGGCUAAUUCCGUGCCAGCAGCCGCGGUAAUACGGGAGUGGCAAGCGUUAUCCGGAAUUAUUGGGCGUAAAGCGUCCGCAGGCGGCCCAGAAAGUCUGCUGUUAAAACGUGGAGCUUAACUCCAUCAUGGCAGUGGAAACUGUUGGGCUUGAGUGUGGUAGGGGCAGAGGGAAUUCCCGGUGUAGCGGUGAAAUGCGUAGAUAUCGGGAAGAACACCAGUGGCGAAGGCGCUCUGCUGGGCCAUAACUGACGCUCAUGGACGAAAGCCAGGGGAGCG